UGGGGAAUAUUGCACAAUGGGCGCAAGCCUGAUGCAGCCAUGCCGCGUGUAUGAAGAAGGCCUUCGGGUUGUAAAGUACUUUCAGCGGGGAGGAAGGGAGUAAAGUUAAUACCUUUGCUCAUUGACGUUACCCGCAGAAGAAGCACCGGCUAACUCCGUGCCAGCAGCCGCGGUAAUACGGAGGGUGCAAGCGUUAAUCGGAAUUACUGGGCGUAAAGCGCACGCAGGCGGUUUGUUAAGUCAGAUGUGAAAUCCCCGGGCUCAACCUGGGAACUGCAUCUGAUACUGGCAAGCUUGAGUCUCGUAGAGGGGGGUAGAAUUCCAGGUGUAGCGGUGAAAUGCGUAGAGAUCUGGUGGAAUACCGGUGGCGAAGGCGGCCCCCUGGACGAAGACUGACGCUCAGGUGCGAAAGCGUGGGGCGCAAACAGG
rnacentral:rRNA from 1 species